rnacentral:lncRNA from 1 species
CUUAAUUUUAUUAUUUAUUUAUUGUAGACACGGCAGUUGGUCAUGUAACAGGGCAGCUGUAGUUGUGGAAGGCCACACACCAGUCUGGAGGAUUGGUGAUUACUUAGAUUCUAGAUCCAAACGGAUUGUGAUAAUUUAAAAUAUUAUUUAUUAAGUUUAUAUAUAUAUAUAUUGAUAUGUAUAAUAAUACUAAUGAAUUUUUAAACUAUAUAGG